GAACGCUGGCGGCGUGGAUAAGACAUGCAAGUCGAGCGCUAAUUACAGGGUAGCAAUAUUCUGUAGUUGGAGCGGCGCAAGGGUGCGUAACACGUGGGCAAUCUGCCGUGAAGUUUGGGACAACUUGCUGAAAGGCGAGCUAAUACCGGAUGUGAAAAUUGGGAGGCAUCUUCUGAUUUUCAAAGUUGGGGACCGUAAGGCCCGACGCUUCAUGAUGAGCCCGCGGCCUAUCAGCUAGUUGGUGAGGUAACGGCUCACCAAGGCUAAGACGGGUAGCUGGUCUGAGAGGACGACCAGCCACACUGGAACUGAGACACGGUCCAGACACCUACGGGUGGCAGCAGUCGAGAAUUUUUCACAAUGGGCGCAAGCCUGAUGGAGCGACGCCGCGUGGGGGAUGAAUGGCUUCGGCCCGUAAACCCCUGUCAUUUGCGAUCAAACGUUAUUAUUUAAAAGAUGAUGACCUGAUAGUAGCGAAAGAGGAAGGGACGGCUAACUCUGUGCCAGCAGCCGCGGUAAUACAGAGGUCCCGAGCGUUGUUCGGAUUCACUGGGCGUAAAGGGUGCGUAGGUGGCGAGGUAAGUCGGAUGUGAAAGCUCGGAGCUCAACUCCGAAAUGGCAUUGGAAACUACCUUGCUCGAGGGUUGGAGGGGGGACUGGAAUACUUGGUGUAGCAGUGAAAUGCGUAGAUAUCAAGUGGAACACCAGUGGCGAAGGCGAGUCCCUGGACAACUCCUGACAUUGAGGCACGAAAGCUAGGGGAGCAAACAGGAUUAGAUACCCUGGUAGUCCUAGCCGUAAACGGUGCAUGUUUGCUGUAAAAGGAUUCGACCCCUUUUGUGGCGUAGCCAACGCGUUAAACAUGCCGCCUGGGAGUACGGUCGCA
rnacentral:rRNA from 1 species